UAAUUGAAGAGUUUGAUCAUGGCUCAGAUUGAACGCUGGCGGCAGGCCUAACACAUGCAAGUCGAGCGGCAGCGGGAGGAAGCUUGCUUCCUCGCCGGCGAGCGGCGGACGGGUGAGUAAUGUCUGGGGAUCUGCCCGAUGGAGGGGGAUAACCACUGGAAACGGUGGCUAAUACCGCAUAACGUCGCAAGACCAAAGUGGGGGACCUUCGGGCCUCACACCAUCGGAUGAACCCAGAUGGGAUUAGCUAGUAGGUGGGGUAAUGGCUCACCUAGGCGACGAUCCCUAGCUGGUCUGAGAGGAUGACCAGCCACACUGGAACUGAGACACGGUCCAGACUCCUACGGGAGGCAGCAGUGGGGAAUAUUGCACAAUGGGCGCAAGCCUGAUGCAGCCAUGCCGCGUGUGUGAAGAAGGCCUUCGGGUUGUAAAGCACUUUCAGCGAGGAGGAAGGUGGUGAGCUUAAUACGUUCAUCAAUUGACGUUACUCGCAGAAGAAGCACCGGCUAACUCCGUGCCAGCAGCCGCGGUAAUACGGAGGGUGCAAGCGUUAAUCGGAAUUACUGGGCGUAAAGCGCACGCAGGCGGUUUGUUAAGUCAGAUGUGAAAUCCCCGAGCUUAACUUGGGAACUGCAUUUGAAACUGGCAAGCUAGAGUCUCGUAGAGGGGGGUAGAAUUCCAGGUGUAGCGGUGAAAUGCGUAGAGAUCUGGAGGAAUACCGGUGGCGAAGGCGGCCCCCUGGACGAAGACUGACGCUCAGGUGCGAAAGCGUGGGGAGCAAACAGGAUUAGAUACCCUGGUAGUCCACGCCGUAAACGAUGUCGAUUUGGAGGUUGUGCCCUUGAGGCGUGGCUUCCGGAGCUAACGCGUUAAAUCGACCGCCUGGGGAGUACGGCCGCAAGGUUAAAACUCAAAUGAAUUGACGGGGGCCCGCACAAGCGGUGGAGCAUGUGGUUUAAUUCGAUGCAACGCGAAGAACCUUACCUACUCUUGACAUCCAGAGAACUUUCCAGAGAUGGAUUGGUGCCUUCGGGAACUCUGAGACAGGUGCUGCAUGGCUGUCGUCAGCUCGUGUUGUGAAAUGUUGGGUUAAGUCCCGCAACGAGCGCAACCCUUAUCCUUUGUUGCCAGCGGUUAGGCCGGGAACUCAAAGGAGACUGCCAGUGAUAAACUGGAGGAAGGUGGGGAUGACGUCAAGUCAUCAUGGCCCUUACGAGUAGGGCUACACACGUGCUACAAUGGCGUAUACAAAGAGAAGCGAACCUGCGAAGGCAAGCGGACCUCAUAAAGUACGUCGUAGUCCGGAUUGGAGUCUGCAACUCGACUCCAUGAAGUCGGAAUCGCUAGUAAUCGUAGAUCAGAAUGCUACGGUGAAUACGUUCCCGGGCCUUGUACACACCGCCCGUCACACCAUGGGAGUGGGUUGCAAAAGAAGUAGGUAGCUUAACCUUCGGGAGGGCGCUUACCACUUUGUGAUUCAUGACUGGGGUGAAGUCGUAACAAGGUAACCGUAGGGGAACCUGCGGUUGGAUCACCUCCUUA
rnacentral:rRNA from 1 species